CCAGCGACUUUAAAGUGACAGUUGAAAUCUAUUUAUUACAAGCGACAAAAGAAAUUCUACCGCACAAUGUUAAAUAUCACAUCUCAAACAAAAAGGGUAAUUCGAAGUUAUUAACACCUAAAUCGAAGGUGUCAGAGCUGAAGUCGAUGCGCGCGGCGAGCCCGGCGGGGCCGCACGCGG